CGGGGGUUCCACCUCUUCCCAUUCCGAACAGAGAAGUUAAGCCCCGUAACGCCGAUGGUACUGCGCAAGUGGGAGAGUAGGUAGCCGCCACCC
rnacentral:rRNA from 1 species